UACAGAGGGGGCAAGCGUUGUUCGGAAUUACUGGGCGUAAAGGGCGCGUAGGCGGCCCGCUAAGUCGAACGUGAAAUCCCCAGGCUUAACCUGGGAACUGCGUCCGAUACUGGCAGGCUUGAAUCCGGGAGAGGGAUGUGGAAUUCCAGGUGUAGCGGUGAAAUGCGUAGAUAUCAAGAGGAACACCUGCGGCGAAGGCGGGUUGCUGGGCCGACACUGACGCUGAAGCGCGAAAGCCAGGGGAGCGAACGGG
rnacentral:rRNA from 1 species